UGUAUGUUAUAACUUUUUAGUUUUUUCAAAUGUUAUAACUUUUCCAAUUCUUAUCAAAAUGUAUACAAUUAGGUAUAAAAACAAAGGUAUGAAAAAGACAAGGCACCUACAACACCCAGUAAUAUGUUACGAAUGUAUAUUUGCUAAUGAAAGUUUUGUGUUUUUUAUUGAAAUUCUGGAUUUUUAUUUUCAAUUUUUUAUAUUCUAACAGACGAUCAUUAAAUAUGAUAGAUAAACAAGUAAAAAAGAAUAUAGUAAUACAUAAUACUCUCCUCAUAUGUAAUGCUCUCCUUAAACGUAAAUCAAAUUGUUUAAACUGGAUAUGAUGAUUAAAUGUUGUAUCGGCAUGGUUUUAUCUGACUACUUUGCUUUUUCAAUUUGGUUGCCAGCUUCAACCUAAUUCUUGAUUUAGAACUAUGAUUUUCAACUAAAACAUUUCCAUGUUGAAUAAAAUACUAUUUAUUCUUAACUGUAUUUUUUUUGAGGCUUCAGUCAUCAAAUGUUGGUGGUAAUUUUAGUUAUGCCACUGUGAAAGCGUCGAUUGUAAAGUAGACAUAAAAAGUUUGAAGUAUGCACAAAGCCUGAAAGUGUCAAAUAUGGAACCUAAAAAAACCUGCCUUUGCCACUGACUGUAUAAAGGUUUUUUAAGGUCUGUUUGUCAAGCGUCAAGUCAGGUUAUCUUGCUACUGAUACCAUGUAGUACAUCCUGCCUAAGCAGGUUGUACGUCAUCCAUACAACGUUUGGGCAUCUGUUUGUAAAAUAUUGCUGCAAAUCUUUUUGAGAGAGCCAUUACUAUGGAGAACCAUCUAAACCAUACAAGUGUGGAAACAUGGAUAUUAAUGUAAAAUAAACUGAUAAGUUUAUUUAACUUAGCUGGUAAAAAAAAGAGUUUUCGUGAAACAAAUUUAAUGAAGACAAUUAUAGAAUGAAGUUCAUUCAUUUGCUAGCAACAUUUUUAAACGUGGUCCAGAUCAAAAAAAUUUGGUGCUAGAAAUUGUCGAUAGUGGAAGUGAUAGAUGCAUCGAACCUAAUUUGUAAUUAAUUUCUGUAAAUAAAUUUCACUUUACUAA